rnacentral:lncRNA from 1 species
CUGGGCACUGACAUUUUUGUUGUUUUCCAAAGAAAGCAAAAUUGCCAGCUUGAAAAAAAAAAUAUUGCACCUGUAUGGUUGUCGUAGAACAACUUGAGGGGCAGGAGGAGAGUAAGCAGUGCAGCUGCUGAUCAAUUUUGUGCCAUGAAAGAUGGUGAUGUCAUGACCUGGCAAGAACAAACAGUGACCGCAGGAGAUGGAAGAAGAGUGGAUCAAGACAAGGAACUAACCCACCAGUAAUACAGCAAUCAGUAAAAAAACAUGGGGGCAAAAGGUACAAUUAAAGAAAUCAGCAGGAGGAGGAGGCAAUUGUUGUUUGUAAAAUUCUGCAGUUCAGAACUGAAACCUCAUACACCCCAAAUUUCUUUAUCCCUUCUCUAUUGAUCGUAUAGAAUCAUUACUCUUGCUCUUUGAUUCAGCUGUUUUUCUAAUAUAAGAUAAUUUGUCUUAGAUUGUAUAGCAGGGGACAGACUUCAGCAGGUGUGAAUGGAUCUCACUUUGCACUUGCAGAGAAGCUGCUCCAGCACUCUUUGUUCUUUUUGCAGCAAACAGAAUGGCUGAAAGACGUCAACUGCACGGAGCUUAUCGCAGUGCUUGGGGUUGGGCUCUUCAUCUGCUGCUUUUGUAGCAUAUCGCUUUGUACUAUUUUCUUGCAGUUUUGUCAGAGAGAAAAGCAUUCAAGAGUUGCUACAAGAAACCCACUGGAAAUAAUGAAAAGCUUCCAUUCUGUUCGAAGAGGACAAGCUUUCCUGUGAAGCAUCAAAAUGCUUCAAGCUCUUCAAACAGCAACACAGCAGUGCCUGAGUGACACAGAGCUGCUGGGAUAGGAACAAUACAUCCAUACCACUCAGCAGGGCUUGUUGCUGUACCUUCAGACCAGUGCAGCUGGUUGUGUUUCGAGAACAGGGAUCGCCAUGCAGUGCUACCUGCACAUCAGUGGGAUGCACUGAACUGCUUCUUGUUGGGAUAACAGCACCAGGAGUUUGAUCUGGAAGAUCUAUCAGAAACCUGUCAAUGGAUGGCACUUGUUUUUUACAGUGCUGGUGUCUGGGAGGUGAUGGACUAC